rnacentral:misc_RNA from 1 species
AAGUCGUAACAAGGUUUCCGUAGGUGAACCUGCGGAAGGAUCAUUACAUUCAGUAGCUUGCUACUGUUAGGGGGGUCGAUCAGCCUGUAUAGUAUCACUACUGAUGAGCAGCACAACCCCCUGUCUGUACCCUUGUCUUUUGCGCACUCAUGUUUCCUCGGCGGGUUCUAUGCCCGCCGGCUGGACAACUCUAUAACCUUUUUAAUUUUCAAUCAGCGUCUGAAAAACCUAAUAAUUACAACUUUCAACAACGGAUCUCUUGGUUCUG